rnacentral:misc_RNA from 1 species
GUUUCUAACCGGUUGCCUGUAAUGUCAAGAGCCUCCUCGCCUAUAUAAGGAGUUGCUCUCUUCAGUUGUAAUCAGACUUAGUUUCCUUUUAAUAAUAUCCUCUGAAGUUCUCUUCCAUGGCUUUCUAAACUCUUCUCCUUCUCUCCGAAAACCUUUGAAUGUGUAUCAUACUCUUAUAAUCAGAGAUACGUAUGCUCUACACUUGCCUCUUUAAGAGGAUCCUGUGUAUCAAAAAUAUCUUUGUUUUGACAUUAAGGUGCGACGGUCCCGUUAUCACAUAUAUAAUGAACAAAAGGGCACAGCCAGAGAGUACCUAUGGAGAGGGAAGAGGCAUAGCAUGAGUUCAUUAUAUGUGUGGUAAGGGCUCCCGGCUUAUCUUGAACUGAAAAGGAUAUCCUGCCCAGUCAGCGCACCAAAUACCUCUUAUCUUAGUCCCGUCCACAAGGGCCCAAACCCACCACGACUCCGCUUGCGCAGGCCCAGAGGCCUACUUGCAGAGCUGCUUAACAUUCACAGGGGCGAGACUCGAACCCGGGACCGCACGGACCGUCACGAGGCUCUGAUACCACUUGAACUGAAAAGGAUAUGUUCUCACCUGCCUCCUAUGAA